AAGAAAUAAAAUCGGGGUGUUCGGGUUGGAGAGUUAGCAGGGGCAUCUCCAGGAGGGUCCUGCCCCCCACCCCAAAGCCGGCCUCAGGGAGUUCCAGGCGUUCCCACACUCCCCGGGCAGGGCCGUGGACGCAGCGCAGACAGGAAGCCGCCCGAGAUAACGCUGCGGCCGGGCGGCCUGAUUUGCUGGGCUGUCUGCUGGCCCGGGCCGAGGCUUCUCCCCGCGCCUGGGACUGCGGCCGCCUCUCUAAAUAGCAGCCAUGAGGCGCCUGGGGGCAGUGUCCUCGCGGGCCAGCGGCGGGCAGGACGCCCCGUUCGCCCAGCGCGUGCUCAGGAGUUGGUGUCCUGCCUGCGCUCAGGAUGAGGGGGGAUCUGGCCCUGGCGGGCGUUCUAAUCAGUCUGGCCUUCCUGUCACUGCUGCCAUCUGGACAUCCUCAGCCGGCUGGCGAUGACGCCUGCUCUGUGCAGAUCCUCGUCCCUGGCCUCAAAGAGAGAGUUCUGCAGGUCAGGCAUGGGUGAGA
rnacentral:sRNA from 1 species